rnacentral:rRNA from 1 species
AUUGAACGCUGGCGGCAGGCCUAACACAUGCAAGUCGAGCGGAUGAAGGGAGCUUGCUCCUGGAUUCAGCGGCGGACGGGUGAGUAAUGCCUAGGAAUCUGCCUGGUAGUGGGGGAUAACGUCCGGAAACGGGCGCUAAUACCGCAUACGUCCUGAGGGAGAAAGUGGGGGAUCUUCGGACCUCACGCUAUCAGAUGAGCCUAGGUCGGAUUAGCUAGUUGGUGGGGUAAAGGCCUACCAAGGCGACGAUCCGUAACUGGUCUGAGAGGAUGAUCAGUCACACUGGAACUGGAACACGGUCAAGACUACUACGGGAGGCAGCAGUGGGGAAUAUUGGGCAAUGGUCGGAAGCCUGAUCCAGCCAUGCCGCGUGUGAUAAGAAGGUGUUCGGAUUGUAAAGACCUUUAAGUUGGGAGGAAGGGCAGUAAGUUAAUACCUUGCUGUUUUGACGUUACCAACAGAAUAAGCACCGGCUAACUUCGUG